GACGAACGCUGGCGGCGUGCUUAACACAUGCAAGUCGAGCGGAGCGGCGAACGGGUGCGUAACGCGUGAGUAACUGCCCCCCUCUCUGGGAUCACAGUUGGCACCGGCUGCUAAUACCGGAUAGUGGGGGAUGACUCGCGUCCUCUCAGCUUGUUGGUUGGGUAGUGGCCUACCAAGGCGACGACGGGUAGCCGGCCUGAGAGUGCGACCGGCCACAUUGGGCUGAGAUACGGCCCAAACUCCUACGGGAGGCAGCAGUGGGGAAUAUUGAACAAUGGGGGAAACACUGAUGCAGCAACGCCGCGUGCGGGAUGACGGCCUUCGGGUUGUAACCCGCUUUCAGCCAUGACGCGGUAGUGGCAGAAGAAGCACCGGCUAACUACGUGCCAGCCGCCGCGGUAAUAC
rnacentral:rRNA from 1 species